rnacentral:lncRNA from 10 species
AGCCGGUCUUCGCGGCAGGCAGAGCGCAGGGUGCCCACGGCAAUCCAACUUCUGGGUGUUUACUCCAAGAUGUGAAAUCAGUUUGUCAAAGAGAUGUCUGCACUCCCAUCUUCAUUGCAGCACUACUCACACGUUAGCUAAGUUAUGAAAUCAACCUAAGAAUCUACUAACAGAUGAACAGAACGAACAAUGACGUAUUUUCAAAGAUGUUAAUAAAAAGCUAAAUGCAAGAUUGUUGUGAAACCUCACUUACGCUAACAUAAUGAUGCUUUGACUCAGUGGACUCAACAUUUGCUUCUGAAGCAUUUGGAAAACAUCUUUAACAGCCUUUGGAGAACCAUUUCCUCUGGCCCCAUGACCCUUUGCUGCUGGGGAUUUACAGGCUGUCUGGGAAUGCACAGCUAAAUACUCCACAGAGACUCAAAGGUGGGCCCACAGCUAAUUACAGCCACGUGGGGGAUGGCAUGUUUCCUAAAGCGGCUGUGGCUGAGAAAGCAAUGUAUCCUUUCCUUCCUACACACCACCUUCCUCCAGCCAUCAUCAUCAAUGUAUUAAACAGGAACACUGAGUUAAAAAUAAAAGCUUUGGAUGAUUUAAAAA